rnacentral:rRNA from 1 species
UACGUAGGGUGCGAGCGUUAAUCGGACUUACUGGGCGUAAAGCGUGCGCAGGCGGUUUUGUAAGCCAGAUGUGCAAUCCCCGGGCUUAACCUGGGAAUGGCAUUUGGGACUGCAAGGCUAGAGUGCGGCCGAGGGGACUGGAAUUCCUGGUGUAGCGGUGAAAUGCGUAGAUAUGAGGAGGAAUACCGAUGGCGAAGGCAGGUCCCUGGGUUGACACUGACGCUCAUGCACGAAAGCGUGGGGAGCAAACAGG